rnacentral:rRNA from 1 species
GUGCCAGCAGCCGCGGUAAUACGUAGGGGGCGAGCGUUGUCCGGAGUUACUGGGCGUAAAGGGCACGCAGGCGGUGCGGCGCGUUUCGCGUGACAGCGGAGGGCUUAACUCUCCGAGGAUGCGAAAGACGGCGGCACUUGAGGGCCAGAGAGGGACACGGAAUUCCGGGUGGAGUGGUGAAAUGCGUAGAGAUCCGGAGGAACACCGAAGGCGAAGGCAGUGUCCUGGCUGGUGACUGACGCUGAGGUGCGAAAGCUAGGGGAGCGAACGGGAUUAGAUACCCCCGUAGUCC